GAUGAACGCUGGCGGCGUGCUUAACACAUGCAAGUCGAGCGAGUGAGUUCUUCGGAACGAUCUAGCGGCGGACGGGUGAGUAACACGUGGGCAACCUGCCUCAUAGAGGGGAAUAGCCUCCCGAAAGGGAGAUUAAUACCGCAUAAAAUUAUCGAGUGGCAUCACACGAUAAUCAAAGGAGUAAUCCGCUAUGAGAUGGGCCCGCGGCGCAUUAGCUAGUUGGGGAGGUAACGGCUCGCCAAGGCGACGAUGCGUAGCCGACCUGAGGGGGUGAUCGGCCACAUUUGGACUGAGACACGGCCCAGACUCCUACGGGAGGCAGCAGUGGGGAAUAUUGCACAAUGGGGGAAGCCCUGAUGCAGCAACGCCGCGUGAGUGAUGAAGGUCUUCGGAUUGUAAAGCUCUGUCUUUGGGGACGAUAAUGACGGUACCCAAGGAGGAAGCCACGGCUAACUACGUGCCAGCCGCCGCAGUAA
rnacentral:rRNA from 1 species